GACGAACGCUGGCGGCGUGCUUAACACAUGCAAGUCGAACGAAGUGGCGAACGGGUGAGUAACGCGUAAUCAACCUGCCCUUCAGAGGGGGACAACAGGUGGAAACGACUGCUAAUACCGCAUACUGAAGGCGGGGCUUGCGUCUGAUUAGCUAGUUGGAGGGGGAACGGCCCACCAAGGCGAAGAUCAGUGGCCGGUCUGGGAGGAUGAACGGCCACAUUGGGACUGGGACACCGGCCAGACUCCUAAGGGAGGCAGCAGUGGGGGAUCUUCCGCAAUGGACGAAAGUCUGACGGAGCAACGCCGGGGGAGGGAUGACGGCCUUCGGGUUGUAAAGAUCUGUUAAUCGGGACGCGGUACCGGAAUAGAAAGCCACGGCUAACUACGUGCCAGCAGCCGCGGUAAUUC
rnacentral:rRNA from 1 species